rnacentral:lncRNA from 1 species
UUCAAUCAAGUCAAUAACAGUUCAAUUUUGUUGACAUAACAUGUCAUAUGUGUUAACAUCAAUUCUGUUAUUUUUUUAAUACUCUAGAGCUAAUACUUGUUUCCAAUUUUGUAAAAUAUUUCAUUUGGCAAAGCUCACAGGCCCUCGGCACCAAGUCCACUGUGUCUAGGGAGCAAAUGGAUGCUGACUUCAUUCCAUGUCACCCCCAAAAUGCCAAGCUGCUCAGGGAACUGACGGGGUCUGAAGGGGCCACGCAGAACCCCCAGAAGUGGCAGGAAGAGGAUGGGCCAGUUUCUGACCAUCACCGAAGGCAGGCUGCCACAGCAGGAGACACUGGGAAUGCAGGAAAAAGCAGGAGACGUGAAGAGCAGGCAAUCUCACGGGACCAACAGGGCUUCCUAUGUGUUCUGGUUGUUUUUACUACAGUGAAACUGGACUCAACAAAGUACCGCAAGUUUAAGAGAUGAAUCCCUGCCAUGUGGACUCCAGAACGGUAAACUCUCCCUUGUUUCAGAAAGGGCACCCCCGCUCUGCCCCAUCCCUUCCUCUCUGCAAG